rnacentral:lncRNA from 1 species
UAGUAGCCAAUUUUAAUUCAUACCCUCCGAAGGUAUUAAUUGGAGGCGAGGUAUUAAUCUACCUUGCUAUAGGACCAAUGAUGGAGGUUGUGGGCUUUAUGCCGAGUCCUCUCCCACUCAUAUCAUUAACAAUUACCGAUUAAAAAUUUCACUUAUAAUAUAUAGCCACUAUAUAUCAUCAAAGCUUGAAAAGGGAAAAUUCAAGUUGUCGCCUUGCUGAGUUCGAAUGGAGCUUGAAGGAAUUUGGUGAUGGUGGAAGUGUGGAGUAGCAGAUCCGGUCGCAUCGGUGAUGACUACUGGAAAAAUGGGGUUGGUGCAUCUACUUCUGCAGAUUGCAGGCUACACUACAUCUGGUAGUCAGGUGCCACCUGUUUUUCUGAUGUAGGCGUGUGUGAAAAGGGGACACUCUGUGUGUGAGUGUUUCUUGUCUUCUUGAGAAAUGAAGGGAGGUUAUCGGUUGUGUGUGUUUCUGAGUGAGGGAGGUUGUGCGUGUAUGACUCAUUGUAUCUUAGGUUUCAAUUUCACUAAUUUUUUAUGAUUUUAAAGCCAACCGAUUGGUGUUUCUAAUCCGAUCAUGAUCCAAUUGGGUUAGCAAAAUGGCAUCUAAUUGGGUCUUGUUAACAAUUCGAUCCAAUCUAAACCAAAUAUUUUUUUAAUCAGGUUGGGUUGAGUCGGAUCAGAUUGGAUAUUUUACCCAGCCCUAAUUGUAAUAUUUUCAACCACCACAGUUGGGAUCUAGAAAAUAUGGCAAUCUUUUCCAUCA